CCAGCUUUCUUGUAACCAGGCUUAACACAUGCAAGUCGAACGGUAAGGCCCUUUCGGGGGUACACGAGUGGCGCACGGGUGAGUAACGCGUAUGCAACCUACCUUUAACUGGAGGAUAGCCCGAGGAAACUCGGAUUAAUACUCCAUAAUAUUAUAGUAUCACCUGAUAUUUUAAUUAAAGCUCCGGCGGUUUUAGAUGGGCAUGCGUGCCAUUAGUUUGUUGGUGAGGUAACGGCUCACCAAGACUACGAUGGCUAGGGGGUCUUAAAGGAUGGUCCCCCACACUGGUACUGAGACACGGACCAGACUCCUACGGGAGGCAGCAGUGAGGAAUAUUGGUCAAUGGGCGAAAGCCUGAACCAGCCAUGCCGCGUGCAGGAUUGAAUGCCCUAUGGGUUGUAAACUGCUUUUCUGAGGGAAGAAACCUCUCUACGUGUAGAGAUUUGCCGGUACCUCAGGAAUAAGCAUCGGCUAACUCCGUGCCAGCAGCCGCGGUAAUACGGAGGAUGCAAGCGUUAUCCGGAUUUAUUAGGUUUAAAGGGUGCGUAGGCGGGAUAUUAAGUCAGUGGUGAAAUCUUACCGCUUAACGGUGAAAUUGCCAUUGAAACUGAUAUUCUUGAGUGUAGUUGAGGUGGGCGGAACGUGUAGUGUAGCGGUGAAAUGCUUAGAUAUUACACAGAACACCGAUUGCGAAGGCAGCUCACUAACUAUCACUGACGCUGAUGCACGAAAGCGUGGGGAGCGAACAGGAUUAGAUACCCUGGUAGUCCACGCUGUAAACGAUGAUCACUCGUUGUUCGCAAUACAUCGUGAGCGACUGAGCGAAAGCAUUAAGUGAUCCACCUGGGGAGUACGUCGGCAACGAUGAAACUCAAAGGAAUUGACGGGGGCCCGCACAAGCGGAGGAACAUGUGGUUUAAUUCGAUGAUACGCGAGGAACCUUACCUGGGCUUAAAUGCAGAACGACGUACCGGGAAACUGGUAUUUCCUUCGGGACGGACUGCAAGGUGCUGCAUGGUUGUCGUCAGCUCGUGCCGUGAGGUGUCGGGUUAAGUCCCAUAACGAGCGCAACCCCUAUUGUUAGUUGCCAGCGGAUAAUGCCGGGGACUCUAACGAGACUGCCAUCGUAAGAUGGAGGAAGGUGGGGAUGACGUCAAAUCAGCACGGCCCUUAUGUCCAGGGCUACACACGUGUUACAAUGGUCAGUACAAAGGGCAGCUACCUGGUGACAGGAUGCUAAUCUCAAAAACUGGUCUUAGUUCGGAUCGUAGUCUGCAAUUCGACUACGUGAAGUUGGAUUCGCUAGUAAUCGCGCAUCAGCCAUGGCGCGGUGAAUACGUUCCCGGGCCUUGUACACACCGCCCGUCAAGCCAUGGAAGCUGGGGGUGCCUGAAGUUCGUAACCGCAAGGAGCGACCUAGGGUAAAACUAGUAACUGGGGCUAAGUCGUAACAAGGUA
rnacentral:rRNA from 1 species